GCUGCUGGCGCUAAUCGCGGCCGUUAUAUACGGCGUCGUGUCGGCGGCCAGUCAUGGCUCCGGGGGCGACGGCUCCGGCCACGUCUCGCUGUACCGCCCCGGCGCCGGCAACGCCUCGGAUCGGGAGCUCCGCUGUAUACAGACGGUGACGGUGCCGGAGGUGGACGUCUGUGUGUACAGCGCUACUGAGGACCGUUACGUGUCCGCUCAGCUGCUCACACACGGCGUCUGGCAGCCUCGGCUUCUCACCGUGUUCCAGAAAGCUCUGCGGAACUAUCCGAACUCUGACGUCAUCGACCUGGGAGCACACAUCGGCUUCCACACGCUUCUCGCGGCUAAG